rnacentral:rRNA from 1 species
CGCCUAACAGCUAGCCCCCCUAACAACCCUAACAAAACCAUAUUAAUAACCCCUAACGUAUUUCAGACACUAAACAAAUCAUUUUAUUUCCCCAGUAUAGGCGAUAAAAAAGGAACCAGGAGCAAUAGAGAUAGUACCGCGAGGGAAAGCUGAAAAAGAAGUGAAACAAAUCAGUCAAGCUAGAAAUAGCAGAGAUUUUUCCUUGUACCUUUUGCAUCAUGAUUUAGUCAGUGUCCCUCAAGCGAAGAGCACUUUAGUUUGUUUACCCGAAACUAUGUGAGCUACUCCAAGACAGCCUAUAAAUUAGGGCGAACCCGUCUCUGUGGCAAAAGAGUGGAAAGAGCUUUGAGUAGAGGUGAUAAACCUACCGAACUUAGUUAUAGCUGGUUACCCAAGAAGUGAAUAGAAGUUCAGCCUCCCGGCUUCUUAAUUCCCAUAAUAAACCUUAUCUAUAGACCAAAAAGAAACCGAGAAAGUUAGUCAAAGGAGGUACAGCUCCUUUGAAACAAGAUACAACUUUUUUAGAAGGGUAAAGAUCAUA